rnacentral:lncRNA from 12 species
CAUUACUUUUUGGGGUGCUUCUUGGGUUCUUUCCUUUUAGGACAGCCUGGUAUACUCACUUGUAUAGGGUUUUCAUAUGAACCAUGGAAAUCACAGUCCUUCUAUGCAUGUGGUUGUAGUGUAUUUCUCCUGCAGCCCAGUCUUCUUUUAUUGUGUCUUCUAGCCAGACAUUUGUAGACCUCAACUCCUGACUUCCUUGAAUAAUUCAGACAUUAGCUGUGGUGUCCAGCUAACUAAAGAAGACACAAGUGGAGCUUUCUCAAGCUUGUUUAUAUCUGAUCAAGACUGGCAAGUUGAAGAUGUUAUCCUCUAUGGCCUUGGAUGCCCACCAGCAAGGAGACUUAUGGUCUCCAAAGUUCACAGCUUACCUGCCAGUUACCAUACUUGAAACAGUGACUUGUCAGUGCCCCCGAGCACUGCUAAGCUGGGACACCUGAGGCCGCGCUGGCGUGGUUUGGAGUGGCUGCCCCUCGAGUGGCCUGUCAUAUGUGGGGCCCAGAUGGACUCCAUGAGAUGUUUGAUCUUUUCCUCCUGGAGGCUAUUAAGUCCACCGCACUCUACUGAAAAUACUGGUAAGUAUCUGUAGGCCUAGAUGAAAUGCUGUCAAUUGAACUUCAUAGUUGUGAAGUGGGACAUUAUCAUAUCCAGUUCAUUCCCAUGCCAGCUCCCUUUUGUCCCCUCUAGCAGGGGCAACUCCAGC